GAAAUAGAAGCAAUCAAUUGAACUCCCAAUUUAUCCACCACUAUCUCACUUCACAUCAUCUGAAUGGUCCUAUGGCAAGGCAGACCUAAAAAAGGAGAGCACUUUCUCUGAAAAGCCAAUGUCCCAAGUGUUUGGGGUAGAAGAGGUGAACACAUGGGGAGAAUCCUGGACAGAGGAUGCUGAAGCUGCAGUUGGCCAAGGGGAAGAAAAUGAACACCAUGAAAGCAUUGGGCCAAAUAGCACCAGAAUAAGGACAGGAGUGGGAAUGACAAGCAGGAUGAGCCAGGGUCAAGAGGGUGACUGGAAACAAUUCAAAAUGAGAGUCAUUUCAAUUGAGACACUGCAAUAUUCAGCGUGCUUUGCUCAGAGCCUGUGCCUGCCAUGGGAGAUCAUCCAGCUGUGACUGUGAGAGACAACAGGAAAGUAAAAGGAAUAGAAAUAAGAGAAGGAAAGAGGAUAAAUGUAGGCAAGGAAAGCUCAGAAGAGGAAUUUCUAGUUCUUUAAGGGAUUUUUACUCCUUUAAGGGAUUUCCAGUGCUCGGUCUGUAGAAGAUUUUCAUCCACAUCCAAAGUGGGCAGAUUUGCACUCCUGCACUCCUCACAGGCACCUCAGCUCUGUUCUUCUCUUGUGACACUGAACAGGACAUUGCCACUUGCCCAAUGUCAUCUCGUUGAAUCUUGACCAUCUUUCCAAUUUAUCAAGAUCAUUUUGAAUCUUAAUUCUGGCUUUAAGAAUGUUGUUACCCUUGAUGGUUUAAUGUACACUGUAAAUUUUACAUGAGCACAGUCUUCCAUCAUUUAAGUUAAUGGAAACACUGACAGGCCUCUGUCUGAAAUACCUGCCUACCUUUAUAUAAAGUAUUAAAUCUUCUAGGAAAGUGCAUUUUCAGACACUUUGGUAGUAUUUUGAAUUAGUGCUAAUAGGUAUUUUUUUUCACCUUGAUUUUAUGUAUGCUGGAUAGCUUUCUCAGGGUAAAUGGAGAUGCUCCCUUCUGCAUUUAUCCUCUAAACAGUUAUUUGGUCAAACAACAUAUUGAGUCUUUUGUGGAUUUUUUUUUUAUUAUUUUUUUUUUUAACUUCAGAUGCUCAGGAAUAAAAUGUUUUAAUGAAAUCUCUGAGUAUUUUUG
rnacentral:lncRNA from 1 species